GGGGGUAUAGCUCAGUGGUAGAGCAUUUGACUGCAGAUCAAGA
rnacentral:tRNA from 1 species